UACAGAGGGUGCAAGCGUUGUUCGGAAUUAUUGGGCGUAAAGCGCGUGUAGGCUGCGACGCAUGUCGGGUGUGAAAGCCCUCGGCUCAACUGAGGAAGUGCGCCCGAAACUGCGUUGCUCGAGUGCUGGAGAGGGUAGCGGAAUUCCCGGUGUAGAGGUGAAAUUCGUAGAUAUCGGGAGGAACACCAGUGGCGAAGGCGGCUACCUGGACGGACACUGACGCUGAGACGCGAAAGCGUGGGGAGCAAACAGG
rnacentral:rRNA from 1 species